rfam:Paxillus involutus ATCC 200175 unplaced genomic scaffold PAXINscaffold_1, whole genome shotgun sequence.
GCACCCUUCGGGGUUGCACACGAUAAAAUUGGAACGAUACAGAGAAGAUUAGCAUGGCCCCUGCACAAGGAUGACACGCUUUUCCGGAGUGGUAGACCUACGGGUCUCAAUAUUUAU